rnacentral:pre_miRNA from 1 species
AUUAAUCAGUAUUCGGUUCUAUGUCUACAUCGGAAAGAAUGGUCACAGGACUAUUCUUUCCGAUGUAGACAUAGGCGAACCGAAUACUGGUUAUAU